CAAAUUGAAAAUUAGAAACCCUAACCUAAUUUCCUCCAACCCUCAGCAGCUACCAGCCACACUUCCUUACCCCAACGGUCACACAACGCAGAGCAGAGAAAGAGAUUUGCGGGAAGAAGAGAAAGAAGACGCCGUUGCUGUCGCGCUUGACUGCUGCUGCCGUCGUCCUCAUCGCGCACUGCCACCGUCCAGCAGGUCGUCACGCCGAGCCCGUUCCACCACCGUCAACACUGCCAUGGAGAAGAGAAGACGACGUCGUAACGCGAGCCAAGGCCGAGAGGAAGGGGACGUCGCUGUGCCUCCAACGCGACCGAUCCGCCGCUGCCACUGGUAGGGUUCUGUCGCCGCCGUCCAUGGAGCUUCGAUUAGCGCCACUGUCAUCACAUACCAGAGGAGAGGGGAGCUCGUGUGUGAAGAGUAGCGCCGCUGUGCCUCCGUCGUGCCUUCAUCACCAUCGAACUGUCUUGCUGUUGCUAGCCUCAUAGCUACUUCUGAGGCUGCGCCGCCGUGCCUCUGGUCAUGGGUGGAGUCCACUCCAAGCUGUCACCAUCGCAGAAUACACGCAGAGGAGAGGGUGAAAGGACCUCCGCCGCUGUCAGGGUCGUUGGUGAGUCGUGCACUGUCACCAGAGUUUAAAACAGCACCAGCCUUCUUGUUCUGGUUCUGAUUCUCCUAUUCUUGAACCCUGACACAGGUUUGAAGACGCAAUUUGAAGCUGCGAGUGAUUAGUAGGUUUUCUUUAUGGUUUUAAUUGCUUUCAUAGAGUCCCCUCGCUCUUGUCGUUUAAGGUUUUAUUUUAACAGAGGGGUAGGUGUUGUAUUUGGGUUUAUAUGACUUCUUAUGUAUAAGAAUUACUAUUAAUAAUACUAUGUGAUUGUUAUUAUUAUUUGUAAAUGUUUGAAUUAUGACUUUAAUGAAUAA